UUGGCAAGGCAGGCGGAAACUCUAUUUACGUUACAAGACUGCAGAGAUAUGUUUUAGAGCUGUCGAUAUACUAUUUUAACAUCGUAUAUCGACCAUCCGCAAAAAUGGGAAAUGCUGACUUUUGUUCUCUCUUUUCUUUACAACAGAAUGUUCCUGUAGAGUGCGAUGUAGAAUAUGUCAAGAGUCUCAAUCUUACCACCGAACUGCCCAUGAAUUUUUCAAAAACUGCCAGUGAAACUGCAAAGGAUGAAUUCUUGCUCAAUUUAAGGUCAUUCCUCGAGAAUGGUUGGCCAGAGAAAAUCGAUAAAACAUAUUUGAACGUUCAUGCAAAUCAACAUGACCUUGAAAUAGUGGAAGAUUGUGUAAUGUUUCAGGAUCGUGUAGUGAUACCACCGACGAACCGACGUGACAGUGGCGAUCCAAAACUGUCCCCCCUAAUUUAACGGUCGACCAGCGAAGCGAGCGAUCGCUUCUGUCAAAUCAGCACAGACGCGAACCGUUUCCUAUAUGAACACACGGGGGUUUGGUGUCGAGCUAUCAAAUCAUCGCGAGCCGUUAUAGAGGUGGCGAUAGUGUUCGGCUAUUUUUCAUCAUGGCGUCGCGGACAACAAAUUUGAAUUUAUUUGUUCUAGCUGUCACGUCGGUUCGUCGGUGGUGAUACCGUCCAUUGAGGAAACAAAUACCACAGACAAACAGACGUAACACUUGCGAAAUUUCCAUCGACCACGCUUUUAACGAUCAUUUUAAAUUUUCAUAGUUGUGUCUUUCACAACCAGAGGCGCGCGCAUCGUUUUUCUAUGCGUUUGACGUUUCACACUAGCGCCUUCUGUUGACGAUAUUGCACAACACAGUGAUUCGUGCAACUUUUCCACCAGGUGAUGUUAGUGUGAACUGGGCGAUGGAUUUCCAUAAAAAUCGUUCAAGGUGUUACGUCUGUUUGUCUGUGCAAAUACUAUCUAUGUUACAUAUAAACCAUUCAGGUGUGAUUAAAAUGAAGCAACUUGCGAGGCGUACCAUUUACUGGCCAGAGGUGGCAAUUGGAAACGUAACUACAAACGCGCAUCGAAACCAACUGAAGAUACCGAGUACUAAGCCACCCACCUUGAACGUAAUGGUCCCGGUUACCUCUAGCAAGCGGAGCCGGAUGGUAACGGUGAUGGCGGAUGAAGAUAUUCCAACAGCAUCAGAUUCGUUUUCAGCUGAAGAGACGAUAUCAAGACCAAUAAACGAUCCCGUGUUGGUCCCUCCAACUCUCCGAAGAUCUACGAGAACCAAGAGGCGCAAAAUUAACGAAGAUUUUAUCUACAAGUGAAUUUGAAUUGGAUUCUAUCUGUUAUGUUUUGUUAAUAAUUGUAAAUGAAUUAAUUUCCGUUGAACUUUUAAAUGUGAACUAGACAUAAGUAAAAAAUGAAUUUUCAGUGAAUUGCAUGUAAUAAUAUUUAACUUAAGGGGAAAGAACUGUAAUGUUUAAGUGAAUUCGACCUAAGUGGUAAACCCCUUUUAUCUGAAUGU